rnacentral:rRNA from 1 species
UACGUAGGGGCCUAGCGUUGUCCGGAUUUAUUGGGCGUAAAGAGCUCGUAGGCGGCUUGUCGCGUCGGCUGUGAAAACCUGGGGCUCAACCCCGGGCCUGCAGUCGAUACGGGCAGGCUAGAGUCCGGCAGGGGAGACUGGAAUUCCUGGUGUAGCGGUGGAAUGCGCAGAUAUCAGGAGGAACACCGAUGGCGAAGGCAGAUCUCUGGGCCGUAACUGACGCUGAGGAGCGAAAGCAUGGGGAGCGAACAGG